GUCUCAAUGUCUCACACAAUACUUAACGAGGGAAAAAAAUAACCAGAUGAGAUGUAGAUUUUUCUUUUAACUUUUCAUCUCUGAGGCACUAAGGAUUACGGUUUACAGGACAAUCUUUCAUUCUAAUACAUGAAAUUUGUGUACUCUCUGGAGAAGUCUAAUUAUUAAAAAUGGCCAUCAUCGAAACCAAGUCGGCCUUAUGAAUUAUACCUGGAUUGUGCCGUGUACAUAAUCCACGAGUUUCACUACAUGCAGCCUUCCAUGCCGAUUAACCCAGGGAAAAGAAGACAAACAGUGAAUUUCUUGCCGGUAACACACGAAGCACGAUGGAAAAACAGGAGGCGGAGGGAGGGGAAGCGUGAUGCCACGCUGCCACCUACUGUCACCCGGCGGACUGCGGGGAGCCCUCUCAUCCCUGAAAUAAAUACUGGACAGGAGGGACAAGAGAACAUCAGCGAGACCCUGAGAGCCACACGUCUUAACUGGUUCAAGGAUAAGAAAGGCGGCCUCGGGGCUUCCUUCCCCGGACCCUUUGCAGGGCUGCGGCCAGGGCAGGACCGCGAUGAGACAUUCCCGUGUGUCAGAGGCGUCCAACCCAGGGUGUUCUUCUGCAUCCAAAACACUUACAGUCAGGGCUUACAAUAAACACUAACAAAUAGUGGCUCUUUUAUGAUAUUUAUUUAAUAACAUAUACACAACAUUUUUAAAAAUCGCAGUGUGGUUUACCUGUACUUAACGUGGUAGGUAGAAUUAAAGAGUCCUUAAGCAGCCCAGAGCUAGAUCAUUAUGUGCAGAGUACAGAAAGGCGGUGACAAAAGGCACAGUGUGACUGUCAAGUACAAAUACGUCCUUGCCAGCACUUGGUUCAGAUAGCCAAGUCCGGACUCUCCCUCUGCAAUGCUUAGGAAGUUUCCACACUGGCAUAUAAGCAAUACAGGACUCCCAACCUGCUGGAGGCCCACCUAUUCCCACAUUCCCAGACACAUGAAGUCCUCCAAGUUGCUUUUUUUCAGUUGUCAUUUGCUGUAAAAAUUGAUAGCAUUUAUCGACAGCAAUGGAGUACAAAAGCUCUAAAAAGUACACAUUCUCUGCUGCCAUGAAUAAUCUAACAAAUUGGCUGAGCUCUGUGGGAAACCUCGGCGUGUUUGCUUAGGCUCACUUGAAGUGCAAAUAGUCAUAAGUAUUCAUGACAGAGGGUUUUAUUUUUUAUGAAACAAACAAGCUGAAAUGCAUUAUAUUGCACUCAGUCUGAAGAAAAAUGUAUUCUGCUAGCAUUGGGUUGACAGAUUUUUGCAUGUAAAAAUGCCUUAAUCCCUGUUUAAAUUAAAACUUUGGAACUUUGGCUACCAAAGGGGAAUUAUUACAGUAAAACAACCUGGAUGCUUUUUUUUUUUUUUUUUUUUUUUUUUUUUUUUGUGAGGUUUUUAUAUAAUUAUACUGGUUUCCCACAAUUAAGGCUAUGAAUAAGCUUCUAAUAAAAAACU
rnacentral:lncRNA from 1 species